rnacentral:rRNA from 1 species
GACGAACGCUGGCGGCGUGCUUAACACAUGCAAGUCGAACUGUAAGGCCCUUCGGGGUACACGAGUGGCGAACGGGUGAGUAACACGUGGGUGAUCUGCCCUGCACUUCGGGAUAAGCCUGGGAAACUGGGUCUAAUACCGGAUAGGACCCUGGGAUGCAUGUCCUGGGGUGGAAAGCUUUUGCGGUGUGGGAUGGGCCCGCGGCCUAUCAGCUUGUUGGUGGGGUGAUGGCCUACCAAGGCGACGACGGGUAGCCGGCCUGAGAGGGUGACCGGCCACACUGGGACUGAGAUACGGCCCUGACUCCUACGGGAGGCAGCAGUGGGGAAUAUUGCACAAUGGGCGCAAGCCUGAUGCAGCGACGCCGCGUGAGGGAUGACGGCCUUCGGGUUGUAAACCUCUUUCAGCACCGACGAAGCGCAAGUGACGGUAGGUGCAGAAGAAGGACCGGCCAACUACGUGCCAGCCGCCGCAGUAA